UACGGAGGAUUCGAGCGUUAUCCGGAUUUAUUGGGCUUAAAGGGUGCGUAGGCGGCCUGUUAAGUCAGGGGUGAAAGACGGUAGCUUAACUAUCGCAGUGCCCUUGAUACUGAUGGGCUUGAAUGUAGUUGAGGUAGGCGGAAUGUGACAAGUAGCGGUGAAAUGCAUAGAUAUGUCACAGAACACCAAUUGCGAAGGCAGCUUACUAAAGUAUGAUUGACGCUGAGGCACGAAAGCGUGGGGAUCAAACAGG
rnacentral:rRNA from 1 species